GGAUAGAAGACCUGGGCCCGUUCUCAGCACUUUAUCACCCUUGGGAUUGGCGGCACGCACCUGUCUUCACAGAAGGUGAGAGGGAAGACUGGAGCUGAACUCCUUCCAGGAACAGACGCUGAGGACCACAUCAUGGUAGCCCUGAGAGAAACGGACGCCAGGGAGGCCUUCAAACCUAAGAGGGCAGAGCUCUGAACAGGCCGUGGCAAGUGCAAAAGACCUGGGACCUUAGGGAUCGUGGGACACUGGAGGACUUCUUCCUCUCGUGCCUGGAUCAGAAGGGCUCAUACUGAGGUGCGAAUGGUUGCCAGACAAAUCAGAUUCAUCCGGGUCCAGUACGGCGAGGGAAGCUGAGGCCCUGUGUGACUUCCGGCGAAGUGGUUCUGCUGCCCUCUGGUGGUGACCGUGGCUACCUGGUCCCCAUAGAGCCUCCACCAGUUCCUCCAGGGGUCAGCGCCUGAACACAGCUCGUUCGUCAUUAGUCAGCCAUUCCCUGGCCACCUCCUCCGG